rnacentral:rRNA from 1 species
AUGAACGCUGGCGGCGUGCUUAACACAUGCAAGUCGAACGAUGAACUGGCGCUUGCGUUGGGGAUUAGUGGCGAACGGGUGAGUAACACGUGAGUAACCUGCCCUUAACUCUGGGAUAAGCCUGGGAAACUGGGUCUAAUACUGGAUAUUGACUUUUCCUCGCAUGGGGUUUGGUUGAAAGCUUUAGUGGUUUUGGAUGGACUCGCGGCCUAUCAGCUUGUUGGUGAGGUAAUGGCUCACCAAGGCGACGACGGGUAGCCGGCCUGAGAGGGUGACCGGCCACACUGGGACUGAGACACGGCCCAGACUCCUACGGGAGGCAGCAGUGGGGAAUAUUGCACAAUGGGCGAAAGCCUGAUGCAGCGACGCCGCGUGAGGGAUGACG